UGUGCGAUAAAUUGUUGGUCGUUCGGCUGCUGAUUCAUUGGUGGCGGGUUCAGUUCAUUUAGCCUCAGAGGGUCCAGAACUUGUCUUGUUUGUUCUGCCCUCUGAUCUCCUCGUGGUCGGGGAACAAGGGGAGGUGAAUGCAGCAUCGAGGGCAUUGGUGGUGGCGUUUUUAUACCUUCGGCUGACGAGGACGUGUUGCUAGCGUUACUAGUCGAGGAUGAGGCAAAAUCGAGUGAUCUCGAGGAACCAGAGCGACUUCUUGCCGCCGACAUCGAAGGGGAACUGUUGUUCCUCGAAGCCGAAGAAGCGUCGCGAAUGGGAGAAAGAUCGGAUUCGUCGCUGGACGACAAUUCUCGCCUUUCAAUAGGCGUUGACGAAUCUAUAGGUACCCGGCGAUUGAGCUGCUCUACUUGUUCUUGAAGGACUGGCGGGUUGUCAGAUCGAGCAGUUUGGGCGCCAUCUAUUUCACCACGUUCUCUUGAGCUAACAUUUGCAACCGAAGCGCUUGCAAUGUCGAGCUGCUGCUUCUUUGUUUUGCUUGGAGGAUUUUCGGUUCCUAUAUGCUCUAGCCAUUUUAAAAGAUCCAAGCAACGAAAAUCACAAUAAACGAGAAAGUAUUUUAAAGAACAACUACUGAUGCGUGCGAGUUUAAGCGCCAAAUGAUUUGAAUCCAGCACUCUUUGUUAAGAAUCAAGCAUGCCUACCAUUCCAAUGUUCGCUGCUUGCGCUCAUUGGUCAAACAUCUGCAUUCACGUGGGCAGAGCAUGAUAGCUAUCCGUGUAGUCUGUAUCUUUGUACAGCGGUAUACCAAUUCAAAACAUACAUUGAAGAUGGCCGACUUCCGCAAGAAGCGAAAAUAUUGUGAACACUGCCAUCAGUACUUGAGUUUAAGGACUUAUCGUAGGCAUUUAAGCCUAUAUUUUGACUGUAAAAACAAGAAAUGGAAGUGUGACGAUUCGUCAGACGAUGAAUUAUUUGCGAAUAUCAACGCACCUAACAAUGACAGUCGACAAGAAGCAUUGGACAUGGAGGAAUCAAGCAAGGGAGAACAGCAAGAAAUUACUACAAAGUCAUUCAUUAUUUUCAAUGCUCAUGUCAUGACUAAGACAGAGACAGAAUACCAAGACAAGAAAAAAUGUUCCAGGGAUAUUGUACACUAAAUGUCCAAGGGGUAGAUACCAAGACAGGAAGCUCAGAGGAAGAUAUGUCUAGUGAUGAAGAUGAUGAUUGGGCAUAUACAAACCAGGACAACAGAACAUUUGGAACAAAAAAAGUGCCAGCAAUAGCAGAAGUAUGGGAACUGUCAGAGAAAGACAUCAACUUUGAUUUUACAGAAGAUGGGGACUUGCCAUGUGUUGAUACCAAUCCUGCUAGUUCAUUAGUUACACCUAUGAGGCCCAUUGCUAAGUGUGCCAUGGUGUUUCUUUGCUUAUGGACUUCAUUUUGCUCUGUAUCUGACAAUGCCCUCGAUAUUUUGCUGUCCUUUUUAAGAGUGUUGUUAGAACGGUUCCACUGAAAGCAGCCUUUGCAGCUAUCCUUCCAAAUACUGUGCACCUGUACAGAGCUAAUCUUGGCAUUGACAAUGACCAGUUUGUAAAAUAUGUGGUAUGUCCAAGCUGUAGCAGCAUAUACAAUUUUCAAGACUGUUAUAAACUCACAUGGGAUGGUAAGCGGGUUACUCGGUUGUGCCAAUAUGUGGCAUUUCCACAUCACCGUCAAGUAUUUCGUAGAACUGCCUGCAAUGAACCUUUGUUGAAACAGAUUACUUUAAAGAAUGGACAAUCGAGGUUAUACCCGUUUAAGGUUUAUUGCUAUAAAAGCAUAGCACAUACCUUAAAUAGGUUUUUGCAUAGGCCAGGAUUUGUUGACAUGUGUGAAUCAUGGCGGAAGAGGGACAUACCUACUGGUUUUCUUGCUGAUGUAUAUGAUGGCAGAGUCUGGAAAGAGUGGCAGACUGUUGAUGGUGAGCAAUAUUUAGCAUUGCCUUAUAAUUAUGGCUUCAUGUUAAAUGUGGACUGGUUUCAACCAUUCAAGCACUCUGUAUACAGUGUUGGGGCUCUCUAUAUGGUUUUAAUGAAUCUGCCAAGAUCAGAGAGGUUCAAACCAGAAAAUCUUUUCUUAGUUGGCAUUAUACCUGGUCCUCAUGAGCCAAAA